UACAGAGGGGGCAAGCGUUAUUCGGAAUUAUUGGGCGUAAAGGGCGCGUAGGCGGUCGUGACAAGUCACUUGUGAAAUCUCCGGGCUUAACUCGGAACGGUCAAGUGAUACUGUCGGACUAGAGUACAGAAGGGGCAACUGGAAUUCUCGGUGUAGCGGUGAAAUGCGUAGAUAUCGAGAGGAACACCUGCGGCGAAGGCGGGUUGCUGGGCUGAUACUGACGCUGAGGCGCGGAAAGCCCAGGGGAGCGAACGGG
rnacentral:rRNA from 1 species